rnacentral:lncRNA from 1 species
GUAGGUGCGGAGGGCCCCGGGAGGGCGAUCGGGCGACGCGGGGCGGACAGGUGGAGCUGCUGUGGUGACAGCCCGUUCCGGCACCGCGUCCUGCAGCGCGGCCACAUUGUUCCCCGCGCGGGCGAGGGCGCAGCGCGCACAGCCGGUGGCCCCCGAGCGGUGUCCUCCGGGCCGGGCGGGGGCCUCGGAACGCCCGCGGAGGGGAGCAGAGCCGGGGUCCCCAAUUCCUGUUCCCCGCGCCCCUCUCUGGCUUUGCGCCCAGCCGCGGGGUUCCCGGCCAGAGCAGGCGGCUUCCGCUCGCCGGGGCAGCAGAGUGCAAGUGCAUGGGCAUUCUGUAUCUUCAGGAUCCUCAUUGUCUCAUCAGUGAUUCUUUUGGCUGAAUCCUGACUGAAGCCAGAAGACAUGGGUGCCUGGGAAAUGCAGUAUCAAAAUUCAACAUCCUUGAAAUAUAAACCAAAGCAGGGAAGGGCGAAGUAAAUCCC